rnacentral:misc_RNA from 1 species
CAAAAUGCGAUAAGUAAUGUGAAUUGCAGAAUUCAGUGAAUCAUCGAAUCUUUGAACGCACAUUGCGCCCGCCAGUAUUCUGGCGGGCAUGCCUGUUCGAGCGUCAUUUCAACCCUCAAGCCCCCGGGUUUGGUGUUGGGGAUCGGGCUGCGGUUCUGCCGCGUCCCGGCCCCGAAAUCUAGUGGCGGUCUCGCUGCAGCCUCCAUUGCGUAGUAGCUAACACCUCGCAACUGGAACGCGGCGCGGCCAAGCCGUUAAACCCCCAACUUCUGAAUGUUGACCUCGGAUCAGGUAGGAAUACCCGCUGAACUUAAGC